UUCCUGUGAUGAGUUUGCCAUGCUAAUACUGAUAUGCCAGACUGACAAUGUCUUUCUGGGCAUAAAUGAGUUCAGUUUAACUUCUCACACUCGCAGUGUGAUCUGAGGAAA
ensembl:snoRNA